AAUCCCCCCAACCAGGGACGUCACUUGAGAUUCAUGGAUGGGGGGCUAAACCUCUUUUAGGGGUGUCUGGCAUACUCCCUGUCCGUUUAUUGUUAGCUAGCAGUCUCAAGCCACAGAAGUAGCUAACAUUAACUGAAAUGUUAGCUACACGUAGGCCUAACCAUGCAUGUACACUAGAUAGUGGUAAAUUGACGCGUGCCGCUUGCCAUUGUGACUCGGUUGUGGGCGUGCUGGCAGCAUAUAGCAGCUUUUCGAUUGUGCGUCAAGAAUUCAGCAUAGCAAGUAUGUAUGAAGGUCUGGUUAUUAAAUGGGUACAUAGCUCAAUAGUAAUAUCCUCUAAAACGCUCUGGUGACAAACAAACUUUGCUGCCUUGUUUCCAUUUAUCUACAUGGCUGGGAUAACCUAAUAUAAAGAGAGCUAUGAAAGCCUGUCUACAUAUGAAGAGCAGUGGUUCUCAGUCCUGGGGUCUCAAAAGGGGUGUACAUUUUUGUUUUUGCCUUAGCACUGCACAGCUGAUUCAGUUGAUCAACUCAUCAAGCUUCGAGUGGUAUUUAUGUAUUAAUUUAUUAAUUCUUUGAUAUGAUCCUGUUAUUGUCACAUGCUAUACAUGCACAUGUGUGUGCCCAUGCAUCUUGAUAUCCAUUGUUUUCAUGAGUUGAGAAAAUAAGGUAUUUAAAGCGACAGUUUUCUUCAGGAAUCCUGGUGUGGCCUCACCUGGUGUCCACACCACACUAAGUGGCUGCAGAGUAUUUUAUGCUGAAAAACAUGAACGGACACGAGGACAAACAAUAUAGCGUAGUUAUAGAAAUAAUGAAGUGUCUCCAUGGUUGGCCCUCCUGCCUAUUCUUUGAAGGUGUUAGAAGCUACAGUUAUACACCCGAGUCUGUUUACUGCACAACACCAUCCAUCAAUCAGAUUGAUACAUGAGUGUGUGGGUUAUAGGGUGUCUAAUUGUUUAAAAAAAAUAAUCAAUAUGGGUGAUUUAAAAUAGCCUGUUUUGUUUUUGUACAGACAUCACACCCUUAGCUAAACAGCACCCUCACCUAAGAAGUACAAAUCAAUGGGAGAGAAACUGUGAAUUUAAUAACAGCAGUUGACAUAGCUAAGUAAACGGAAUAAUACUCUUAUUGCAAUGUGAAUGGCUCUUAAGAGCCUUUGGUUGUGCAUCGUGUAGUCUAUGGUGUUGCCAGGGAACAGCACCCUCUUCGAAGAAGUAGGAGGUGAAGAUCUCCCGCACAUGGAUUGCCUCUCUUGCUGCGUUGUUGGACCCAAUCCUUAACAUCCCGCAGAGCAGCAGACUUCUACUCUGGCACACGGCGACAAGCUGCAGAUCCCCUCCUGGUCCUUGUGUCCAUCCUCAUUAAGUUAUGCAGGACACAGGUAGCCUUCACACACCUGAAUUCCCCCAGGAGGCAGUCCCAGAUGGCCCUGGUCACCCAACCUUGCGCUGCCCUAUAUGUUAACUGUAGGCAAUCGUUUUGAAGGAAUCUCCAGUUACAAGGUAUCUGUAGUAAUAUGGAAGACAAUGUAAAUAUUAGACUUUUACAUCACCGGGUCAUUGUGGAUUACUAAAGUAUAAUAUACCUUAUAACAAUAAGUCACUCUCCUUCACUUCAUCCCUUUCUCCUCUUCUCGCUAAAUCCUCUAGGUUAUAUCAGCUGUGUCGGUGAACCCCUCCUGCAUCUGAACUGGCUACAUAAGAGGGCACAGCAUGAUCAGAGAUAUGUUUUGAUGUGAGAGAUGUUGCCAACCCCCAGUAUUAUCAUCGCCAUCUCACCCGCUUUUAAGAUGAGUAUCUCUCGGCAGCCCAAAGGUUAUGUAAUUGUGAUGAACUGAGAAUAUUUAGGUAGCAUUGUGAUUCAUUAAUCAUAUGCUGCCUUCCCUGCUCCUAUGUUUUACCUCUUUCUCUGUCUUUUACACCUCUCCCGCCACCUCUUUCUUCGUCUGUUUGUGCAUUGAAGUACAGAUUGAACUUGUAUUUAUAAUAUUACAAUUAUAAUAUUUAUAAUGCAUGUAUUUAUAACACUUGGAUAAUGAGCCUUUCAAUAAAGCAUUUUACAUUCUCUA